rnacentral:rRNA from 1 species
CCUACGGGUGGCAGCAGUGAGGAAUAUUGGUCAAUGGGCGCGAGCCUGAACCAGCCAAGUAGCGUGAAGGAUGACUGCCCUACGGGUUGUAAACUUCUUUUAUAAAGGAAUAAAGUGAGGCACGUGUGUCUUUUUGUAUGUACUUUAUGAAUAAGGAUCGGCUAACUCCGUGCCAGCAGCCGCGGUAAUACAGAGGAUCCGAGCGUUAUCCGGAUUUAUUGGGUUUAACGGGAGCGUAGAUGGGUUGUUAAGUCAGUUGUGAAAGUUUGCGGUUUAACCUUAAAAUUGCAAUUGAAACUGGCAGUCUUGAGUACAGGUGAGGUAGGCGGAAUUCGUGGUGUAGCGGUGAAAUGCGUAGAUAUCACGAAGAACCCCGAUUGCGAAGGCAGCUUACUAAACUGUGACUGACAUUGAUGCUCGAAAGUGUGGGUAUCAAACAGGAUUAGAUACCCCUGUAGUC